CCUUCUCGGUGUAACUAGGUCAGCGCAAGGUGAUCCUGAGGAGAUAGGCGGCGCUCGGGGGGCGCCCUCGUUCCUCUUAUCGCGCCUUUGUCCCUCCCUCCGUUCCUUGCCCCGCACCCUCACUUUCGCCGCCCUGUGCGUUGCCUGUCCCGGAACUGGUUCCCUCAAGCCGCCCUCACCUGUUCUGACUUCCCCUCGAGGCACAAUAGCCUGAGAGAUCAGACGUGGGAGAUUAGAUUGCUCGGCGUCAGACCUACUUCUAGGCAACCCCCCCUAGACUGGAGCUGCUCGUCGUGGACAUUAGGAUCUAGUUGGGCAUGAGCCCUUAACUUAAGGGUCGGGGGGGAAGUGGCGGGUGCGGAGAGGAGGCGUGGAGAGUGUGAGGAAGAAGAGAGGCACUCUGAGAAGAAGUCGAACAACUAACCCCUCAUUUGGCCUGGUUUGGGUGAGAAGAUUGAGUCACUUGGGGAAAAAAAUAUUGGAGAAGUCAGAGAAGGUGUAAAUCAGUGGUGCCACAAACACCAGUUUACUUCCACUUUUCACCCCCCGGGUCUGUUUUGUCUGCGUGCAGCUCUCCUCGUGUCGGAGACGCUGAGUCAGUUCUCUACUGGUCUUGCCCUCUUCCGGAAAAAGAAAACACACCUGAGAAGUGGUAGUUCCUAUCCUAACCUACUGGGGCCCUUUAUACCAGGUGCCAAACUUCAUUAUCCACCCCACCACCUUGCCCGGGAGGGAGAUCUGUGAAAGCGAAACGUGAUUUAAGCUGGGAUCUGGCAGCAACUUCGUGGACUCUGAAGGGCACGUGGGAAAGGAGUUUUGAUUGAAGAGAGACAAGACCAUCAAGUAGACCAGCACACUCCAAACAGAUCUUUGGAAAGAAGGCAUUGAGAGUGGACAGAGGGAGGAUGCAGACCCUGGGGCUGAAAGGAGAGAAAGUUGGAAAUCCUGCACAGGGUUGCCAAGCACUGGAACUCAAUCCUGA
rnacentral:lncRNA from 10 species